GGGGGUGUAGCUCGGUGGCAGAGCGUGUGCUUGGCAUGCACAAGGUCAUGGGUUCAAUCCCCAGUACCUUCA
rfam:Camelus ferus unplaced genomic scaffold scaffold1278, whole genome shotgun sequence.